UACGUAGGGUGCAAGCGUUAAUCGGAAUUACUGGGCGUAAAGGGUGCGCAGGCGGUAUUAUAAGUCAGCGGUGAAAUCCCCGGGCUCAACCUGGGAAUGGCCGUUGAGACUGUAAUGCUGGAGUGUGUCAGAGGGGGGUAGAAUUCCACGUGUAGCAGUGAAAUGCGUAGAGAUGUGGAGGAAUACCGAUGGCGAAGGCAGCCCCCUGGGAUAACACUGACGCUCAAGCACGAAAGCGUGGGGAG
rnacentral:rRNA from 1 species